rnacentral:tRNA from 1 species
CCGUCGAUAGCUCAACUGGUAGAGCUUUGGACUGUAGAUCCAUAGUUCGCUGGUUCGACUACGGCUCGACGGA